UACAGAGGUCUCAAGCGUUGUUCGGAUUCAUUGGGCGUAAAGGGUGCGUAGGUGGCGGGUAAGUCUGGUGUGAAAUCUCGAGGCUCAACCUCGAACUGCACUGGAUACUGCCUUGCUUGAGUACUGGAGAGGAGAUUGGAAUUUACGGUGUAGCAGUGAAAUGCGUAGAUAUCGUAAGGAAGACCAGUGGCGAAGGCGAAUCUCUGGACAGUUACUGACACUGAGGCACGAAGGCCA
rnacentral:rRNA from 1 species